CAGCGGCCUUGGGGUUGAAGAGUAACUCUGGCUUAGCAAGCCCAGCCACUCAGGAUUAUCUGCCCUCAAAACCCCACCACUUCUUUCCUAGUCUCUCUGGCUGGGGCUUGUUGAACCCAAAAUAUCUCCAAGGACAUCGCUGUACCUGAACUUAAUCCUUCUCUGCACUUUUUUAGGUAAAUAAUGGCUAUUAUUUGUCCCUUCCUCAGAGGACAAAACUGAAGUUUGGAAAGGGGGCCAGCUCUUUGCAGAUCCCUUUCUUGCUCCCACACCACGACCUUGCAUCAGGGGUGAUAAAUCCCAGACCCUAGGAAGCCCGGCCUCGGCCCGCCCUCUAGCCGCCUACGUGUCUCCGUUCUCGUCCUGAGCCAUCAGCAGGUGGCGCUGUCCCGCCAACAGCGCGCGGGCGUCCGCCGUGACGCCGUAGUCGAGCAAGGCUUGGGCGCUGCGCUGCGUCAGGCCAAACAGGCGCGCGUUGUACUCCCGAGCUGGGGGUGACAGGGGGCAUGGUAGGAUGCAUGAUUGGUCUCCAGCCCCGGCGUCCCGACCGUUCACAUUUUGGAGGCCAUACCUCGUAGCAGGGCGUUUGGAGCCUGUGGUUCGCCCUCUGGGUUUCCAGGGGGCGCGCUUGGCUCUGCCGCUUCCUCCAUAGCAUCCACACCCGGCGAGGAGGAGGCCAUCUGCGCCCCGCCCCCGCCGCCCGGGUAGCAGCCCAUUGGGGCUGCGCCGGACUGGUAGGGGCUGUAGGCCAAGGAGGAGGGGAAAAAGCCGAGGCUGCCACCUGUGGGUACAGGCAGGGCUGUGGGGAGCGGGCACCAGCCAGGACUCUCCCCAGUUUCUUCCCCACCAUUUCUUCCCCCCCAUCCCUAUCCCCUCCACACCUCUUCAGCCUUCAGCACCCCUCACCUCCUCCUCCAGCUCCUCCAUAACCCCCAGCAGAGCCCCCAGAGCCUCCACCCAUGUGCGAGCCACCUCCAAAGGGCUGGGAGAAGGUAGGCAAUGCCUUCCUCCGCUUCCGCUGCACCUCCUCCUUGUCUGGGGGCAAAGGCAAACAAAUGUUAAAUCUCUAGUUCAAGGAUCAUGCCUUAGGGUCUCUUUUUUCAAAAGUACUCAGACUGGCUCCUAGAAAUCACCUCUUGGGAACCCUCCAGCCCAGCCCAGUCCCAUAGGAUCCUCAAGCCCAGUUCCACCUUCCACCAGAGGAUAAUAGGUGAACUGUUUGGAGUCAGAUACAUCCCCUCCACGCUUGCGUUUCAGUUGUAGGAACACCGUUACAGGCCGCUCAAUCUUCAUCUUGUGAUAGGGAGGUGUCCGGAACACAAUGGCAUACUGAGAGGGUGGGGGACAACACAGGGUGUCAGUCAGGCCUUUGCCUAGUUCAUCCCCUAGCCCAGGCCCUGAUCCCUAAGUACCUGUUUAUGAACAUCUGUGGGAGAGAAGUCCCCAAAGGCCUGCCAUCCAUUCUCAUCAUCCUCAUAGAACCGAACCUCAAUGUCAUCUACAGGAAAAGUGAAGCUUGACCAUAGUUUCUGGGAGAACCUUCACAGCCAUUUAUCCUGGACCUGCUCUGAUCCUCAGGCUAGAACUCAGUGUCCCUAAUUCCCAGUUUAGGCUCCAGCCUCACCUUUCUGCACCUUGUCACAAAGCAGAUAAACUUCAUCUCCACCCCGUA